UUUGAUCCUGGCUCAGGAUGAACGCUGGCGGCGUGCUUAACACAUGCAAGUCGAACGAAGCACCUUGAUUUGAUUCUUCGGAUGAAGAUCUUGGUGACUGAGUGGCGGACGGGGGAGUAACGCGUGGGUAACCUGCCUCAUACAGGGGGAUAACAGUUAGAAAUGACUGCUAAUACCGCAUAAGACCACAGCACCGCAUGGUGCAGGGGUAAAAACUCCGGUGGUAUGAGAUGGACCCGCGUCUGAUUAGGUAGUUGGUGGGGUAACGGCCUACCAAGCCGACGAUCAGUAGCCGACCUGAGAGGGUGACCGGCCACAUUGGGACUGAGACACGGCCCAAACUCCUACGGGAGGCAGCAGUGGGGAAUAUUGCACAAUGGGGGAAACCCUGAUGCAGCGACGCCGCGUGAGCGAUGAAGUAUUUCGGUAUGUAAAGCUCUAUCAGCAGGGAAGAAAAUGACGGUACCUGACUAAGAAGCACCGGCUAAAUACGUGCCAGCAGCCGCGGUAAUACGUAUGGUGCAAGCGUUAUCCGGAUUUACUGGGUGUAAAGGGAGCGUAGACGGAGUGGCAAGUCUGAUGUGAAAACCCGGGGCUCAACCCCGGGACUGCAUUGGAAACUGUCAAUCUAGAGUACCGGAGAGGUAAGCGGAAUUCCUAGUGUAGCGGUGAAAUGCGUAGAUAUUAGGAGGAACACCAGUGGCGAAGGCGGCUUACUGGACGGUAACUGACGUUGAGGCUCGAAAGCGUGGGGAGCAAACAGGAUUAGAUACCCUGGUAGUCCACGCCGUAAACGAUGACUACUAGGUGUCGGGCAGCAAAGCUGUUCGGUGCCGCAGCAAACGCAAUAAGUAGUCCACCUGGGGAGUACGUUCGCAAGAAUGAAACUCAAAGGAAUUGACGGGGACCCCCCAAGC
rnacentral:rRNA from 2 species